rnacentral:rRNA from 1 species
GUGAGUGUUGGGUUAAGUCCCGCAACGAGCGCAACCCCUACGUUUAGUUGCUAACAGGUGAAGCUGAGCACUCUAGACGAACUGCCGUUGACAAAACGGAGGAAGGUGGGGAUGACGUCAAAUCAUCAUGCCCCUUAUGUUCUGGGCUACACACGUGCUACAAUGGCCGGUACAGACGGAGGCGAAGCCGCGAGGCGGAGCAAAUCCGAAAAAGCCGGUCUCAGUUCGGAUUGCAGGCUGCAAUUCGCCUGCAUGAAGUCGGAAUCGCUAGUAAUCGCAGGUCAGCAUACUGCGGUGAAUACGUUCCCGGGCCUU